CUGGGCUUGACAUGUUCCUGACAGCCGUGGAAACACGGUCUCCCUUCGGGGCAGGAUCACAGGUGGUGCAUGGCUGUCGUCAGCUCGUGUCGUGAGAUGUUGGGUUAAGUCCCGCAACGAGCGCAACCCCCGUCGCAUGUUGCCAGCAUUUAGUUGGGGACUCAUGCGAGACUGCCGGUGACAAACCGGAGGAAGGUGGGGAUGACGUCAAGUCAUCAUGCCCCUUAUGUCCAGGGCUACACACGUGCUACAUUGGCGCGUACAGAGGGUUGCGAUACCGCGAGGUGGAGCGGAUCCCUUAAAGCGCGUCUCGGUUCGGAUUGCAGGCUGAAACUCGCCUGCAUGAAGGCGGAGUUGCUAGUAAUCGCGGAUCAGCAUUGCCGCGGUGAAUACGUUCCC
rnacentral:rRNA from 1 species